rnacentral:rRNA from 1 species
GAUGAACGCUGGCGGCGUGCCUAAUACAUGCAAGUAGAACGCUGAAGAGAGGAGCUUGCUCUUCUUGGAUGAGUUGCGAACGGGUGAGUAACGCGUAGGUAACCUGCCUUGUAGCGGGGGAUAACUAUUGGAAACGAUAGCUAAUACCGCAUAACAAUGGAUGACACAUGUCAUUUAUUUGAAAGGGGCAAUUGCUCCACUACAAGAUGGACCUGCGUUGUAUUAGCUAGUAGGUGAGGUAACGGCUCACCUAGGCGGCGAUACAUAGCCGACCUGAGAGGGUGAUCGGCCACACUGGGACUGAGACACGGCCCAGACUCCUACGGGAGGCAGCAGUAGGGAAUCUUCGGCAAUGGGGGCAACCCUGACCGAGCAACGCCGCGUGAGUGAAGAAGGUUUUCGGAUCGUAAAGCUCUGUUGUAAGUCAAGAACGAGUGUGAGAGUGGAAAGUUCACACUGUGACG